GGUACGAUGACGCCAAGAGCUUUAGGGUGAUACCGUGACUCACCAAAUGUCAGCAAGGAGAGACUGCGCGGAAGAAAUGCAAUGAUGGCGGCCCAAUGAGGAGCGAUUCAUUCCAAUCAUUCCAUUAUCUUCAGCUUCUGUGAUGGACACUCAGUGAACAAGCUCCGAAGGAAACAAAGCAAAAA